CCUACGGGGGGCUGCAGUGGGGAAUCUUGCGCAAUGAUCGUAAGAGUGACGCAGCGACGCCGCGUGAAUGACGAAGGCCUUCGGGUCGUAAAGUUCUUUCGACAGGGAAGAAAAUGCCUAUAAGUAACUGUGUAUGUAUUGACGGUACCUGUAUAAGCAGCCCCGGCUAACUCCGUGCCAGCAGCCGCGGUAAUACGGAGGGGGCGAGCGUUGUUCGGAGGGACUGGGCGUAAAGGGCACGUAGGCGGUGUUGUAAGUCAUUAGUCAAAGACUAGAGCUCAACUUUAGUAAGGCUAGUGAUACUAUAAUACUAGAGUAUCAGAGAGGAUUGCAGAAUUCCUGGUGUAGCGGUGAAAUGCGUAGAUAUCAGGAGGAAUACCGUUAGCGAAGGCGGCAAUCUGGCUGGAAACUGACGCUGAGGUGCGAAAGCGUGGGUAGCAAACAGGAUUAGAUACCCGAGUAGUC
rnacentral:rRNA from 1 species